rnacentral:lncRNA from 1 species
ACUUUGUCUCCAAAAAAAAGGGUGAUCAGUAAUGAUUGUGCUAAAAAGGUUGCGGAAAAAAUCGUUGGGGGUAAUAUCGUUGCGAGAUAAAAUCGUUGUGUACCUUAUCAUUGUGAGACAAAUUGUUGUGGGUAAUGGCAUCGUGAAGCAACAUCAUUGUAAGCAAUAUGAUUAUGAAGAAUGGUCCCACCAACGUCGAAUAUUUCCAAAUUGAUCAAACUGUCUCCCUUUAUCAUCAAAACCAUGAGUUAUUUCGUGUCCUAUAACAACACCUAUACCCCCAAAAUUAAUCGAUUUUGGAAAAUACUUGUGAUAGAAUGGUGGUUGCAAGAUUCCAGCGGGAAACACUAAAAAUAUUAUAAAAAUAAAAAUAUCAUACAAAAUGCAUUGCUGCUGUCCUGAUUGCAAUUCCAAUGUCAAGCGAAGAUCUCUUGCUCAUGAAUUUGAGCCUGAUGAUCAAAAUUUGAACAAUGUUUCAGCCUAUUCUAGUAGUUAUAAAGAAGGAACGGAGUAAUUCUUUACUUAAGAGGAUAUUAUAGGUGCCCUCAAUAACUUCAAGGAAAAAAUUAGUCACUUUGAAUUUAUAAAAUAGCAGCUAUUCCUUCAUUCAAAAAAUCCAUGUGGAAGGAUAUGUUCUCCACUAAUUCUAGGAAUGUACGUGCUAUGGAAAACAACAAGUCUGAGUUUAUAUCGACAAAUAAUUUCGUCCGGCUUAUUUGUUUAGCCUUCUGAAAAACACAAAAGACUCAACAGCAUUUUAUCAAUGGAAGCAGGAAUAGAUAAUUCAACAUCUGAUUAUUUGAGUUUUUAAAUAGUUUAGCUCGAUCCUAAGGACAGAAAUGUCUCAAUCAUCAUAGACGAGGUGUUUUCUGCUCAAAUAGUUGCAUUGUCAGGCAGAAAAUUCUACGGAUAUGAAGAUAACGGAUCGACCAAAACAAUCUUUGUUUUAUAUUAAAAACUGUCGUGGGCAAGUAUAACACGUAGCUGUAAUGGUUCCUCUAUCGAGAAUUGAUUCGAAAGUCAUGAAAAAAUGGUUCUUCAAAGUUCUUAAACCUGUUACUGACGUCAGAUUUAGACCAGCCUCCAUCCUGACUGAUGGACAUUCGAUCAACCAUUAAUUUUUAGGAACGAAUUAGGAAAUUGUUUUAUCCUACAACAUAUUAAAAUUAUUUCUCCAUCUCAAAAGAAAAGAUAUUCUUAUUAUUUGAUUCAAUCCUUAUUUUCAAAAAUUUCUAAAAUAACCUAAUAAAUAGUUAACAUAGUAAAACAGCUUUUCCAUCCUUUGAACACCACGAUGAACACUUGGAAGCUCAUUCUCACCAGGUUGUCGAAAUGUAUCAAAAAGAAAUGGGCCUAGGAAUCAAUUAUACACAUCAACUCUCUCACCAAGUCUUAUUUCCUCAACCUAUUGAAAAAAACAAAAUCAGUAUAUCAAUAUAUCAUUGGAGCUCUUUUAUGCAAAACUAUUUUAGGAAUAAAUGAAUGUUCUAGGGAUAUGCUUAGCUCAUGUCAUCUUAAUAUUUUAAUCGAUGAAAAUGGUAGCCAUCAAAUUAUUGAUUCUUUUUUUAAUGAACUUAAUAGGGUGGACUUGUGAGACGGAGUGAUUUUAUGUUUCUGACUGUAUUUCAUAUUAAUAAUUUACUGAAGUUUAUAUUUAUUUGUGAUGUUAAAAAUAUAUAUUUUUUUAAUAAGGAUUAUAGAAAUGUAUUUAUAUUUUGUUUAAAAGAAAUGCUGAUGUGUCAAGAUUAUGUGACAUGGAUUAUCUGCACCAAGUUUGCUAAUGUCCAUGAAUUUUUAACUUAUUUGAAUUUUGUUACUUCUAAAUUGUCUGAUUUAUUUUCAAAAAGUUAUAUUAAGGAUAUGAAUAGUCAGUUUCAUUCGAACAAACGAAGAAAGCCAAAAUAUAUUGAAUCAGGGAAAACAAUUUAAAAAAUUAAGUACAUUGUUGUAAUUUUUGUAUUUUGUAUGGGUUUCUAUGUAAUAUAUUUUAUAAAUGUAAAGUUA